UCGCCUGGAGGCUCUCAUUGGGGCGGGGGGGGGUACUGUUAUGGUCCUGUCUGGCAAUCCCCCACCUUGCCAUUUGCCUCAAGAUUUGGGCCUCGAUCACCUCAUUUAGAUUCCAAUCAUUCCCAGGUAUCACUGACAACACGCACCUGCUUCCCAUCAAACGGCAGGAUAAGAAACCUGUGACCACAGCAAGAAGCCGCCAGUUCGUUGGUCGACUUUUGUGAGAGUAAACCUUGUUUCCUAUUCCUGAGAAGUGUUAGUUCUAAGCUUCGCAUCGUCUCCUGGAUAUCGGCUCCCCGUUCGUGGAGCUGUUGGUUGCAAAUGCAUUUUCCCAGAUGAUUGCAAAAUCAGGCACCUCACUGACCCGGUGAGGAUAAAUGUUUCCAGUGAGAUACAGGGAGAAGAUUAAGGCUAAUUGAGAGGAGGACACAUCUAACAUGCCAAAGAGAGAUGCUAUGGAUGCAACGGGAGGUGAGGACCUCGAUAAAAUAGCUAUCACCAAAGAGGUAGUGCUGAGCAAACUUGUGGGCCUGAAGAUAGACAAGUCCCCUGGUCCUUUGGAAUGCAUCCCAGGGUA